GGCGAUUCUUGGUUGAUGCACCCUGGAAUCAGGCUUCCUCCUCUCUGGUUCCGGGUGUGUCACCUGAGAACCAUA
rfam:Myotis lucifugus cont2.18313, whole genome shotgun sequence.